CGAACGGGUGAGUAACGCGUAGGAACCCGCCUCGACUGGGGAUACCACUUGGAAACAGGUGCUAAUACCGCAUGUGGUCGAGAGAAGAAAGGCUUGAGCAAUCGAGUCGCGUUGAGAGGGGCCUGCGUCCGAUUAGCUAGUUGGUAGGGUAAAGGGCCUACCAAGGCGACGAUCGGUAGCUGGUCUGAGAGGAUGGUCAGCCACACUGGGACUGAGACACGGCCCAG
rnacentral:rRNA from 1 species